rnacentral:tRNA from 1 species
GCUGCGAUGCCGAGUGGUAAGGCGUUUGACUAGAAAUCCAAUGGGAUCUUCCGCCGUAGGUUCGAAUCCUACUCGCAGCG